GCAUUGGUGGUUCAGUGGUAGAAGUCUCCCCUUUCAUGUGUGAGACCUGGGUUCAAUUGCCAGGCAAUGCA
rnacentral:tRNA from 1 species